GCUAUAUCAGGUUGAAACACCGCUUUUUGUACGAUCACCUAAGUUAAGCAACGUUGAGCCUGGUCAGUACUUAGAUGGGUGACCGUUUAUGAAUACCAGGUGCUGUAA